UUUUUAAGUCCCUCAUUAAGCUUGUACUUUGCUCCUUUAACUCAUAUCAGGUAGUAACCUUUUGGGAAGGAGAAAUUGUUGACACCAAGAAUUAUACUUUCUUCACUGGCAAAUGGGAAGCAACACCAGAGGAUGAUAUAAGGCACUGGACCAAGUUUUCUUCUUUUAAUUCUUUACUUCCGUAGGGAACGUGAAUUUAAGGUGACCAUCAAGUUUGCUUCGAAGCCAGAAUUACAUCAUCUGCGACAGUUUUUAUAGAGCAGGCAACUUGAUGCUCCUCAAGAGACAAUUCAAGCACUGGAUGUUGCUCUCAGAGGAGAUCCAUCGGAUAAGUAUACUGUUGUUGGGAGGUUGUUUUUUCACUUCACACUGGGGCGUCCU